rnacentral:rRNA from 1 species
AUUGAACGCUGGCGGCAUGCCUUACACAUGCAAGUCGAACGGCAGCACGGGAGCAAUCCUGGUGGCGAGUGGCGAACGGGUGAGUAAUAUAUCGGAACGUGCCCAGUAGUGGGGGAUAACUGCUCGAAAGAGCAGCUAAUACCGCAUACGACCUGAGGGUGAAAGGGGGGGAUCGCAAGACCUCUCGCUAUUGAAGCGGCCGAUAUCAGAUUAGCUAGUUGGUGGGGUAAAGGCCUACCAAGGCAACGAUCUGUAGUUGGUCUGAGAGGACGACCAGCCACACUGGAACUGAGACACGGUCCAGACUCCUACGGGAGGCAGCAGUGGGGAAUAUUGGACAAUGGGGGCAACCCUAAUCCAGCGACGCCGCGUGUGUGAAGAAGGCCUGCGGGUUGUAAAGCACUUUUAGUGGGGAUGAAAAGCUCAGUUCUAAUACAGCUGGGUCUUGACCUAACCCAAAGAAAAAGCACCGGCUAACUCUGUGCCAGCCGCCGCCGUAAGAC